GUAUUUAAUGACCAAUCUAACUGAAGGGGGCGGGGCGGUCUGCAAAGAGCCUAGGAAAAGAGAGGCAGGAGUAAGCACAAGUCAGUAGGUCUCUGGUACAACCUGAGGGAGACGGUACUUCAAAAUUUAUCCAAUUAAUCCUUAAAACAAACCAACUUUUUGAACCCGAUUCUUAGUAAAUAAUCUUCAGAUCACUGAUUACGACAUCUAAACCCAUCAAUUCCAGAAGGACAUCCUACAGAGUUCACUGAACUCUUCAGAUCCUUCAGCAAUUUCCUCUGUGAAUUUCUAAAAGCAUUAUCAAUAGUAUCAUAUUAUUUUUUAUUUAUCCCAUAGAUGAUGCUGUACAGAGUAUAAAGGACGUUUGUGUGUCUUAUCUCAUGUCGUCCUGGCACUCUGGUACAUAAAUGCAGACUGUGACAUUUGUUAAGAUGAGUCAGUUCAUCACAGCAAUGGAGACCCUUGGGAGAAUUGGGGAAAUUGAGUCCCUGGACUUGCCUAGCUGAGAAACAGGCCUGGACUGUGGCGAUUCUUCAAAGAUGGGGCGCCAAAAGGCAGUUCCCCGGCCCCUGCUCAAUACCACCACACCCUCCACUGCUAGGGAUGACUGAGACAGAGCAAGGACAACACAGCCCUGAUCAGGGCCACAGAUAAUUAGCUCAGUUGGUGGGAGGACGAUGCAAGAGGCUUGGGUUGCGGUCCUGGGAGAGUUAACUUUCUCUGUGCCUGGUCACAGAAUACACCCUUCAUCAUGACCUGCCACAUCACACACAUACAGGUCUUGGCAAAGGGGAGAUGGACACCAGAAAACAUGUGAGAGGAUGUGGAUAAAUCAGUGCACAUCUGUCACUACUUCUGGAAGAAAUAAGUCAAAGGGCAUACCCUGGUGACGGUGGUCAUGAAUGCUAUGAGUCACAAACUGAAACAAAUGGUGUCCUUGAAUUCAUCUCUAAUUCUGAGGUCAAGGACUAUAAAUUCUGAAUUAGCAGCAAUAUUUGUCAAAGACCAUGAUGUCACAAUAGUUAUCUGUCACAAAGGGUCAGUUCCCAGACAAACUUAACUUUCUUUUCUCCCACCAGCAAUUACAGAAAUGCCAUAAUCAGGCUCCAGAUAUAAUGGGAUUGCCUACGUCUUCUCUGGAAGGGAAAAAUGAAAAAUGACAUCUUUGAUGGAGAAGACUCCACAGAGACCCGGGUAGAAACGCAUCCUGUUCUUCAGCUCACAGACAGCUCUCUUUCCCAUCAUAUGGCUGACAGAACAUCACCCUCGCCUCUCAUUGAGGACCCACUAGCACAGAUGUCUCCCUGCCCACUCAGAUUUCCACGUGAAGAGUAUCCGCCAUCAGCCCUUUCUUUCCCCUGUGGCAUACAUCACCUUCUACCAGACUCCACAGUGACAGAGGACAAGGCUGAAACCCGAGAGCGCUGCCAUUCCAAGCAUAUCCUCAUCAGGCAAGUGGUUCCCCAGAUCUACUGCUCAGGAAAAGUGGGGCAGUCCCCAGGGAGCCUACAUUGUUCUGUGUUGUGGAUAUAAUCAAGAGCAGGGAAUCCUUUAGCACUCAUGAAAAAUAUAAGCACAAAAAUCACACUUUAUAUUGGCCCAAAGGUUAUUUGAUAACAUGUUGAGAGAGAAAGACUGCAAAUAACUCAAAAGAAGUCAAGGUAGAAAGUUGAGAUGAUGACUUAUUUACAACAGAUUGAUUAUAAUCACACUGUUAUUAUACUUAGGUGACCUUCAUCAAAUGUAGACUAACCCUCUCUGGCUGUCAGAGAUGCCCUGUUGCAGGGCCCAUGGGUGGAGGAACCCUACCUCCCAGACUAGUGGCUGAAGAAACAGAAGGGCAGGUGAAAGGAAGUUACUGCCCUGUGUCUUUGUUUCCCACCUGUGACACAAGGCUAGUGCUUGUUACCCACACUUGGUUGAAUGAGAGAGCGGUGGUAACCGCCAGGUUAUAGCAAUCAUAUAGCUCAAGAAAAGAGUUUAAGCUGUGUGCCCACUGACAUCUUCAGGUCAGAAAUACUGUAGGCUUCAAACAAAUACUAAGUUUUCAGUAAAGCCAAAGGAGGCAAUGAUUCCAGUUAACCCAAAAAAUCUCCAGAUUGGUUUAUUUAGGCUAAAGGAUACAAGGAUAUUAAAGACAAAUUCAAAAAGGUCAGGGAAAAGUAGAAUUCUUUUAUAUCCCUCACUCUUUUUUUUUUUCUGUUUUUUUCUUAUCCACAAAAGAUCUUCCACUGCAAGAUUUACCUUCGAAGACUAGACCAAUGUUACUUUCCUGUAAAAAGGCGUGGGAAGCUACGCUUUGCAUGAGAUGAAGACAAUAAACACUUAAGGGGAGAAAAAAGCAUUAGCUGGUUUUUCCCUUCGUGUCAUUCCUCUGUAACUGAUGAGUUUUUAACUGCAGUCUUGUUAUCCUCAUUAGCAUUAAGUGUUAAUUUCCCCCGUCUUCUCCUACUGGAAGGGUACCUGGAACUCCACGCUGACCUCAACAAUGGCUGGCAUCAUAGGUCAAGGUUGAGGGAGAAGGAUGAGGGUAAGACUGUGUAAAAAAAGGUAAGCCGAAAACGGUGUGACCAAUGAACUGAAGAGAGGACACAAAUGCAGGUGGCUGCUGAAAUCAGGGUCUCCUUCCAAGAAGGGGGUGAGGCCUGGUGGGCAUUGCGUACAAGAUUCUCUCCUCCACUUAUUCAUGUGCUCCUGGCAAUUUUGGCAGUGGCACCUCGAGUGAAAAGCACACUACUUUGCACAUAUGGUGGAAAGAAUCUUGUGCAUCAGUUGAAUGCAUACUGUACUACAUACACAUUCUGUUUUAUCUCCGGGCCCAGCCGUGCUGCAAACGCUUGCAAAUUGGGAAACCUUCUGUGCAGUAAAAAUACGGACAGGAGAAGCUAGACUGUGACUUCUAAGAUGCAACACCAGCCAAAAAAGCCAAAGUAACUAAAAGUUAAGGCGUGUGCUUCACGCUCAUUGCAACAAAGGCAGCUCUGCAAGGUGGGGACUCACAGCCAGCAUUUAUUUCGUUCCCCUUCAUUCUGUGGUUUCAGGCCCAAUGAAUGGGCUUCCCUACCAUACACAUGAAGCCCUCUGGGAACCGUAUCCAUUGCUGCUUUAUUUUAUGGGAUAUUGGAAAUUUAUAUGGAAAAAAAACUUCAGUGAAUUUCUCAGAUUUACCUUGGUAGGGGACAGUAAUGAAAUGGCUAUUUUUGUCCUCUGUUUUAUCCUGAGGUCUUGAGCCUGCCAUCCAGCAAUGGGAUGCCACUGCCCUUAGUGAGACCCUGGCAUCGCUUUCACUUCCUAAGUGUUUCUAAAAGCAAAAUCUGAUACCGCUCAGGAUUCAGAACACCCUGAAUAGUUGGGAUAUAAAAGGGGCAAAGUGGUAGAUUCUGGCUUUCCUUCUUGCCCACUCUUCCUUUACCUGGCCCCCAAACAAAGGAAGGAUGUUUUUUAAAUAACUCUUUUAAAACAACUGGUCGCUAAUUAAAGAGAUUGAUAUAAAAAUCGUUUCUUACUUUAAGUCACGGAUCUUCCUCUCUUUUCUAUUAUAAAAGUGUGAGAGUGUACAGAUUUCUUUAAUAAACGAAGACAAUUUUUAGAGGGGUCAAUGCAUUAAGGUUUCUAUGGCUCUUUUCCAACUUGCUGAGAAUGGUAACAUCUUCAAAAUGAAGAAACCAAGACGUAACCAGGUAACCCAACUGAAGGCACAGAGGAAGACCCAUAACAUAAGGUUCUUGGUAAGAUCCUGACUGCUCAAAGUAUCAGAGGAAAAGAGCAUUGGGUACCCAGGGUGACGCCCGGUCUUGCCUCCACUAUCUGCUGGCAGCUCCUUCUUAUUCAAGGACACCCGUCUCCCCUCCUAACCCUUUCGUCUGUGCAAC